AAGGAUCAUUAAAAUAAUAAUGAAUUUGGCGGGGCAGAUUUUCUGUGGAAUUUCAGCCCCGCGUAUAUUCAACCAACCCGCUCUUGUAUUUGGAUCAACGUCAAAAAAAACUUUAUAUAUUUAUAAUAAAAAACAAACUUUCAACAACGGAUCUCUUGGCUCUC
rnacentral:misc_RNA from 1 species